GUGGGACUGGGCAGGGGAGAACGGUUAGGGUCAGAGGUUAGGUUAACUUACAUAGCGGCUGGGCUGUAGUGGGACUGGGCAGGGGAGAACGGUUAGGGUCAGAGGUUAGGUUAACUUACAUAGCGGCUGGGCUGUAGUGGGACUGGGCAGGGGAGAACGGUUAGGGUCAGAGGUUAGGUUAACUUACAUAGCGGCUGGGCUGUAGUGGGACUGGGCAGGGGAGAACGGUUAGGGUCAGAGGUUAGGUUAACUUACAUAGCGGCUGGGCUGUAGUGGGACUGGGCAGGGGAGAACGGUUAGGGUCAGAGGUUAGGUUAACUUACAUAGCGGCUGGGCUGUAGUGGGACUGGGCAGGGGAGAA